rnacentral:rRNA from 1 species
ACUCCUACGGGAGGCAGCAGUGGGGAAUCUUGCGCAAUGGGCGAAAGCCUGACGCAGCCAUGCCGCGUGAAUGAUGAAGGUCUUAGGAUUGUAAAAUUCUUUCACCGGGGACGAUAAUGACGGUACCCGGAGAAGAAGCCCCGGCUAACUUCGUGCCAGCAGCCGCGGUAAUACGAAGGGGGCUAGCGUUGCUCGGAAUUACUGGGCGUAAAGGGAGCGUAGGCGGACAUUUAAGUCAGGGGUGAAAUCCCGGGGCUCAACCUCGGAAUUGCCUUUGAUACUGGAUGUCUUGAGUGUGAGAGAGGUAUGUGGAACUCCGAGUGUAGAGGUGAAAUUCGUAGAUAUUCGGAAGAACACCAGUGGCGAAGGCGACAUACUGGCUCAUUACUGACGCUGAGGCUCG